rnacentral:rRNA from 1 species
UACGUAGGGGGCAAGCGUUGUCCGGAUUUAUUGGGCGUAAAGAGCGUGUAGGCGGUCAGGUAGGUCCGUUGUGAAAACUCGAGGCUCAACCUCGAGACGCCGAUGGAAACCAUCUGACUAGAGUCCGGAAGAGGAGAGUGGAAUUCCUGGUGUAGCGGUGAAAUGCGCAGAUAUCAGGAAGAACACCCGCGGCUAAGGCGGCUCUCUAGUACGGUACUGACGCUGAGACGCGAAAGCGUGGGGAGCGAACAGG